UACGUAGGGCGCAAGCGUUAUCCGGAAUUAUUGGGCGUAAAGAGCUCGUAGGCGGUUUGUUGCGUCUGCCGUGAAAGUCCGGGGCUCAACUCCGGAUCUGCGGUGGGUACGGGCAGACUAGAGUGAUGUAGGGGAGACUGGAAUUCCUGGUGUAGCGGUGAAAUGCGCAGAUAUCAGGAGGAACACCGAUGGCGAAGGCAGGUCUCUGGGCAUUAACUGACGCUGAGGAGCGAAAGCAUGGGGAGCGAACAGGA
rnacentral:rRNA from 1 species